rnacentral:rRNA from 1 species
UACCCGCGCCCUGAGUGGUGCUCGUUAUUAUUGGGUCUAAAACAUCCGUAGCCGGUUCUGUAAAUGCCCAGGUAAAUCGAUAGGCUUAACUUGUCGAAUUCUGGGUAGACUGCAGAACUUGGGAUCGGGAGAGGUUAGAGGUACUUCGGGGGUAGGGGUAAAAUCCUGUAAUCCUUGAAGGACCACCGGUGGCGAAGGCGUCUAACUAGAACGACUCCGACGGUGAGGGAUGAAGCCCUGGGGCG